GGUGGCACAAAGACUAUUUUAAAAAUCAAAAAGACAAGCUAAGCAGGGUCGGGCCUGGUUAGUACUUGGAUGGGAGACCACCUAGGAAGACCAGGUACUGUAGACA
rnacentral:rRNA from 1 species